rnacentral:rRNA from 1 species
GACGAACGCUGGCGGCGUGCCUAAUACAUGCAAGUCGAGCGAAGUUUUUCUGGUGCUUGCACUAGAAAAACUUAGCGGCGCACGGGUGAGUAACACGUAAAGAACCUGCCUCAUAGACUGGGACAACUAUUGGAAACGAUAGCUAAUACCGGAUAACAGUAUUUCUCGCAUGAGAGAUAUUUAAAAGUUGGUUAUGCUAACACUAUGAGAUGGCUUUGCGGUGCAUUAGCUAGUUGGUGGGGUAAAGGCCCACCAAGGCGACGAUGCAUAGCCGACCUGAGAGGGGGAUCGGCCACACUGGGACUGAGACACGGCCCAGACUCCUACGGGAGGCAGCAGUAGGGAAUCUUCCGCAAUGGGCGAAAGCCUGACGGAGCAACGCCGCGUGAGUGAAGAAGGAUUUCGGUUCGUAAAGCUCUGUUGUUAGGGAAGAAUGGAUAUGUAGUAACUAUACAUGUAAGAGACGGUACCUAACCAGAAAGCCACGGCUAACUACGUG